CAUCUUCAUGGCGCCGAUUUGCUUGAUCUGCUUGCGGGCGCCCGAUAAAUCCCGCUAAAGAGGUCCAUGUGACUCCUUC
rnacentral:ncRNA from 1 species